rnacentral:rRNA from 1 species
AGAGUUUGAUCAUGGCUCAGGAUGAACGCUAGCGACAGGCCUAACACAUGCAAGUCGAGGGGCAUCGGGACGUAGCAAUACGUUGCCGGCGACCGGCGGAUGGGUGAGUAACGCGUAUGCAACCUACCCGUAGCAGGGGGAUAGCCCGUUGAAAGACGGAUUAAUACCCCGUAACACAGGGGCUCCGCAUGGAGAUUAUUGUUAAAGGGUCAUUUCUUUUAGAGGUGGUCCGGCUACGGAUGGGCAUGCGUUCCAUUAGGUAGUUGGUGUAGGUAACGGCUCACCAAGCCGACGAUGGAUAGGGGAACUGAGAGGUUGGUCCCCCACACUGGUACUGAGACACGGACCAGACUCCUACGGGAGGCAGCAGUGAGGAAUCUUGGUCAAUGGACGCAAGUCUGAACCAGCCAUGUCGCGUGAAGGAGGACGGCCCUAAGGGUUGUAAACUUCUUUUGCAGUGGAAUAAAGUUUGCCACGAGUUGGCGAUUUGCAAGUACGCUGCGAAUAAGGAUCGGCUAACUCCGUGCCAGCAGCCGCGGUAAUACGGAGGAUCCGGGCGUUAUCCGGAUUUAUUGGGUUUAAAGGGUGCGCAGGCGGGGAUUUAGGUCGGCGGUGAAAUUUCGGGGCUCAACCUCGAUAGUGCCGUUGAAACCGUUUCUCUUGAGUGCGGAUGAGGUAGGCGGAAUUUGUGGUGUAGCGGUGAAAUGCGUAGAUAUCACAAGGAACACCGAUUGCGGAGGCAGCUUACUAAACCGUUACUGACGCUCAUGCACGAAGGCGUGGGGAUCAAACAGGAUUAGAUACCCUGGUAGUCC